CUACGGGUCGCACCAGUGAGGAAUAUUGCACAAUGGGGGGAACCCUGAUGCAGCAACGCCGCGUGGAGGAUGACGCAUUUCGGUGUGUAAACUCCUUUUAUAUGUCAAGAAAAUGACGGUAGCAUAUGAAUAAGCACCGGCUAACUCCGUGCCAGCAGCCGCGGUAAUACGGAGGGUGCAAGCGUUACUCGGAAUCACUGGGCGUAAAGGACGCGUAGGCGGGUUGGAAAGUCAGGUGUGAAAUCCUACAGCUUAACUGUAGAACUGCACCUGAGACUUCUAAUCUAGAGUAUGGGAGGGGGAGAUGGAAUUAGUGGUGUAGGGGUAAAAUCCGUAGAUAUCACUAGGAAUACCUAAAGCGAAGGCGAUCUCCUGGAACAUUACUGACGCUAAGGCGUGAAAGCGUGGGGAGCAAACAGGAUUAGAUACCCGGGUAGUC
rnacentral:rRNA from 1 species